rnacentral:rRNA from 1 species
UACGUAGGGGGCAAGCGUUGUCCGGAAUCAUUGGGCGUAAAGAGCGUGUAGGCGGCCAGAUAAGUCCGCUGUGAAAUCUCGAGGCUCAACCUCGAGACGUCGGCGGAAACCAUCUGGCUAGAGUCCGGAAGAGGAGAGUGGAAUUCCUGGUGUAGCGGUGAAAUGCGCAGAUAUCAGGAAGAACACCCGUGGCGAAGGCGGCUCGCUGGGACGGUACUGACGCUGAGACGCGAAAGCGUGGGGAGCGAACAGG